UGAGUAACACGUAUCCAACCUUCCCAUAACUCAGGGAUAGCUUUCGAAAGAAGAUUAAUACCUGAUAGUACUUUUUCAAGGCAUCUUGAAAAAGUUAAAGAUUUAUUGGUUAUGGAUGGGAUGCGUUCCAUUAGAUAGUUGGUGAGGUAACGGCUCACCAAGUCUUCGAUGGAUAGGGGUUCUGAGAGGAAGGUCCCCCACAUUGGUACUGAGACACGGACCAAACUCCUACGGGAGGCAGCAGUGAGGAAUAUUGGUCAAUGGGCGAGAGCCUGAGCCAGCCAAGUAGCGUGAAAAGGAUGAAGGUCCUAUGGAUUGUAAACUUCUUUUAUAGUAGAAUAAAGUGAGCCACGUGUGGUUUUUUGUAUGUAUACUAUGAAUAAGGAUCGGCUAACUCCGUGCCAGCCGCCGC
rnacentral:rRNA from 1 species